GGGAGAACUCACUGUGUGAAGCUGGUGCACCGUUUGUACCCGGAAGUUGACCCAGCACUAAACCCUGACCAUGUUGAGCACAUGCUUUACAAGUGCCCUGAUUCAAUCCCAGACCCUAAAGCUGUCCAAUAUGUGAGAAAUGACAGAGGCACACCCAUGGUUCUAGACAACAACUACUACAGAAACAUAUUGGACAACAAGGGCUUGUUGAUAGUGGAUCACCAGCUAGCCAAUGACAAGAGAACUAAGCCUUAUGUGAAGAAAAUGGCCAAGAGUCAGGAUUACUUCUUUAAGGAGUUUUCUAGGGCUAUCACCAUUCUUUCUGAGAACAACCC
rnacentral:lncRNA from 1 species